rnacentral:pre_miRNA from 1 species
UCCUCAUUCCGCCUGCUCUCUCGUCGGUCAGAGCAGCGAGAGAGCAGGUGAAUUGAGGAGA